rnacentral:rRNA from 1 species
GGAGUUAGCCGGUGCUUCUUCUGCGAGUAACGUCACAGAUGUAAGGUAUUAACUUACACCCUUUCCUCCUCGCUGAAAGUGCUUUACAACCCGAAGGCCUUCUUCACACACGCGGCAUGGCUGCAUCAGGGUUUCCCCCAUUGUGCAAUAUUCCCCACUGCUGCCUCCCGUAGGAGUCUGGGCCGUGUCUCAGUCCCAGUGUGGCUGAUCAUCCUCUCAGACCAGCUAGGGAUCGUCGCCUAGGUGAGCCUUUACCUCACCUACUAGCUAAUCCCACCUGGGCUUAUCCAUCAGCGCAAGGCCCGAAGGUCCCCUGCUUUCCCCCGUAGGGCGUAUGCGGUAUUAGCAGUCGUUUCCAACUGUUAUCCCCCACAAUGGGCAAUUCCCAGGCAUUACUCACCCGUCCGCCGCUCGUCAUCUUCAAAGCAAGCUUUUGAAUGUUACCGCUCGACUUGCAUGUGUUAGGCCUGCCGCCAGCGUUCAAUCUGAGCCAUAAUCAAACUCUGA